rnacentral:rRNA from 1 species
AGCGAACGCUGGCGGCGUGCCUAACACAUGCAAGUCGAACGUGAAAGGGGGCAACCCUGAGUAAAGUGGCGUACGGGUGAGUAACACGUAGGUAAUCUACCCCAGAGUCUGGAAUAACCUGCCGAAAGGCGGGCUAAUACUGGAUAGAGCGACGGAAUCCGUAAUUGGGUUUUUCGGGAAAGGGAGGGUGUUGAACCCCCUCCGCUUGGGUACGGAGCCUGCGUCUCAUUAGGUAGUUGGUGGGGUAAGUGGCCUACCAAGCCUGUAUGAGUAGCUGGUCUGAGAGGAUGAUCAGCACACUGGAACUGAAACACGGUCCAGACUCCUACGGGAGGCAGCAGUGGGGAAUCUUGCGCAAUGGACGAAAGUCUGACG